rnacentral:rRNA from 1 species
GAUGAACGCUGGCGGCGUGCUUAACACAUGCAAGUCGAACGGAAAGGCCCAAGCUUGCUUGGGUACUCGAGUGGCGAACGGGUGAGUAACACGUGGGUGAUCUGCCCUGCACUUCGGGAUAAGCCUGGGAAACUGGGUCUAAUAUCGGAUAGGACGAUGGUUUGGAUGCCAUUGUGGAAAGUUUUUUCGGUGUGGGAUGAGCUCGCGGCCUAUCAGCUUGUUGGUGGGGUAUUGGCCUACCAAGGCGUCGACGGGUAGCCGGCAUGAGAGGGUGUACGGCCACAUUGGGACUGAGAUACAGCCCGGACUCCGACGGGAGGCAGCAGUGGGGAAUAUUGUACAAUGGGCGCAAGCCUGAGGCAGCGACGCCGCGUGGGGGAUGACGGCCUUCGGGUUGUAAACUCCUAUCGCUAGGGACGAAGCGUUUUUGUGACGGUACCUGGAGAAGAAGCACCGGCUAACUACGUG